AUACAGUUCCGCAUCAGACGGCGCUCAGACCACCAGACUCUCCUGGGAAAAUGACAACAGUGAGCUGUUGUUUCCUCAGUUUGUUAUGUUUUAGCUAUUUGAGGACUCAUUGUGUUUGUCUCUAUCCCGGAUGGCCCAUUUAUGGUGAUUCAAUGUAAAUGCAUUCUUCAGAUCCCAUGUAUCAGCCGAGGUUCUGCAGGUGUGUGCAUUUGGACCUCUCUCCUUUCUGUUUAGCUGGAUUAGCCGAUCGGUAUUAUUUAACAACGUAAAUGCGCAGCCAGUGUACUCUGUAUACGCAAUAUAUGAUUCAUUUUACUCAGCUCACUCACCGAUAUUUUGCAUUGUUGAUGUUGCUGUUUUGAAUUUCCAGGAACCUUAUGAUUCAGGUUACCUUAUGACAAUGGCUGACAAAUGAAAAUUCCCACAGUCUCAUAUUCGGUGAAUAAUUUAAUUGUUUCAUUGGAGUGUUUAUGAACAAUGAAAGAACUGAACUAAGUAAACUAAAAAAAGGUCAAGGCUGUAACUUGUAAGCAGGCUCUGCUUACUCAGAGUGUUUUGGGUGUAUACUCUCUGCCCUUGGUUUUUGUAGUGUAACAGUUCAAUAUUUUGACAUCAGUUCAAGUGCAAGAUCAAGUCAAAGGAUCUGUUUUCACCAGGUUGAUAAUGCCAUUUUCUGAAAUUUGCUCUAAAAGAAUUCUUUAAAAUUAGCAUUUCUUUCUGGCUACUACAUAUAGGUUUAUUUGUAAGUACUUGAGGCUGGCAUGUAGUGCAUUUGAAGUGGAAGCACUUGAUGAACAUAUACUAUGUGUGGAGAGCAUUCACUCAGUGUCAUUAUGUCAUUUUUACCGAGAUUACUUUUCGAGGCUUUUGCAUUGGAGCUCUUCAUUGCUCUUCAUUUCAGCAUAUUACAACAAGGUGCGUUUUGAUUACAUAUGAAACCUCCAAGAGCCAAUGCUUUUUGGCGUAACUGUUGUCACAUCUUUGUGUCAAGUCUGAAUAUGAGCAUAUGCAAAUACGAUUUGAGCUACAGCAGAAUGUUGGAUGAAUAAUGGAUUUUCAGCUAAAUGAAUUAUACAUUUCUGUGUGUUCAAGACAUAAAGCUCUCAAAUGGCUUCAGAAGAGAUGCAUUGUAGCAUAUACUAAACAUUUGCUUCACUAUAUACUAUUUUGUAUUUUAAAACCAAUUUUUCUUUUAUUGAAGAAAAAACAAUGACCAUUAAAAAACCUUUUUGAGUGAGCUAUACCUUUUAAUAUAAGUAUUACAUCUUGUUAUAUUGUAAAUAAAGACCAUGGGCAACAUCUAUCCCCAUUUCAAGAGAACAUCCUAUUUACGUAUUUUCUUUUCUGGAGUGUGUCUCUACAGGUCUGUAUUUUAUCUUAUCUUGCAUUUUGUUCUAACUUAAUCUGUCCCAGUUUAAUCCAUUCCAGGAAUGAGGAUUCGGGCUAUUUUGGAAAUAAUCCUUACAUGAAGAUAUGAAGAUUGAUUCAUUCCUUUCAUUUCAGUGUCUCCAUAUGCGUGGGGGAAUACACAGCAUAUGUCUCUUGCAUGUGCCGUGCAUGCUUUUUCUGGUAUGUACAGAUGCGAAGGAACGCUAAAAUGCGGUGGUUAUUCUAGCAAGAUCUGAAACGAUACUCUCUCGCCUGACCUUUGAGGUGCAGGUCAGACGGAUGCCAACAGGUGGUAAUGUGAGGAACUUGAACCCCCGAUAACUCAUAAAGAAACUCUAGCAGCGCAUAUCUCAGGCAUAUCUGAGUACAGACUCUUGCUCUGCACUGCGACACGCCGAGAUGAGAGGAGAGGUAGAGAGCAGAUAAAAGACUGUGAAAGAAUGAGAAAGGGAGCACUGGAUGCAUAAUUUAUCUUCAUUAAAGAGAUAGUUCACCCAAAAAUAAACAUUCUGUCAUCAUUUACUCUCUUUUCAUUCCAGACAUGUGUGGCACACUUUCUUCUGCUGAGUUGCUGGGAAUUUAGUUUUGCAUAUUAAGAAGAAAGUGCUUUACAGUUUUGAAUCAACGUGUGGGUGAGCAUAUAAAGACAGAACUUAUAUGUUAAGAGAGGAAGAGAUCGGAUCACACGCUGCUUGAGCUGAGGUGCUACAGAGCAGGUAACGUUUCGUAUAAAAGUGUCUCAACUUUCAAUUUUUGCAUUUUCCUUCGUCAUUUCAAAGAAUAAAUACCAUUUAGUGGCUCUUUAAUGUGCAGCAGAUGAACCAAACAUCGUUUCAUAUUUACUUAAAGCACAAAAUAAACAUGAAUGAACAUCGGAAGGUGUUCUGUGUCAUGAUUGGUCAGAUCGCCUGUCAGUCAACCUCAGCCUGUUGAGCUUUAGAGCUGUUUUAUAGCUUUGCGACACUAUGAACUGAAUCAGCAUUGAACUGAAUAAUAACAAUGCUGUCUUUUGUGGAGUGGCUUUAUAGCUGAAAUUGAAGUUUCAUAAUGGAUGAACUUUGCAACAGUGUUUAUGAAACUGUUCAUAUAAAGUGAUAUAUAAAUAUGUGACUUGAUGGGAAUUAAGUUACACUCAUUCCUGAAAAAGUAAUUCAGCUAAUGGUUGGAAAAAAACACAUAUACAUAUUCAGUAGAAGGCAAUAAAAUCACCACCUAGCACCUUUAAUUGCUGAAAUUACAUCUUGUUCCCAAAGUAAAUCAAUUUCCAUUCAAAUAGGGCAAUAGUAAAUCAUCACAAAAACACAACAAAGAAUAAGCAUAAAAUAUCUUUAAUUAAAAUAUCCUCUUUGAAAAUAGCGGAGCAGAGUAUGGCUGAUCAGUAUUGCUUAACAAAGCCCUCGAAUUCAAGUAAAGUACAUUCAGUAACACGUUACACAAUACAUUUCAAACCUGCUGACUUUACAAACACAUAACGUGAGACAUGAGCCCUGGUCCCAGUGCUUUAGAAGAGCUGAUGUUGACCUCCUUGCUUAACCUGCAAGAUUUGUCUAUUGGCUUGUUGGCUUCUGUUAAGACUCACUGUGUUGCUUGUGCAUCGUUUUGCAAUACAGCUUAAGAGACGAUUUACUUAAAGUCCAAGA